UACAGAGGGUGCAAGCGUUGUUCGGAAUUAUUGGGCGCAAAGCGCGUGUAGGCGGCUUUGCAAGUCGGGUGUGAAAUCCCUCGGCUCAACCGAGGAAGUGCGCCCGAAACUGCAGAGCUUGAGUACCGGAGAGGAUGGCGGAAUUCCCGAAGUAGAGGUGAAAUUCGUAGAUAUCGGGAGGAACACCGGUGGCGAAGGCGGCCAUCUGGACGGAUACUGACGCUGAGACGCGAAAGCGUGGGGAGCAAACAGG
rnacentral:rRNA from 1 species